UACGGGGGGGGCAAGCGUUGUCCGGAAUUACUGGGCGUAAAGAGCGCGCAGGCGGUCGUUCAAGUCGAGUGUGAAAGCCCCCGGCUCAACUGGGGAGGGUCAUUCGAUACUGAUCGACUGGAAGGCAGGAGAGGGAAGCGGAAUUCCCGGUGUAGUGGUGAAAUGCGUAGAUAUCGGGAGGAACACCAGUGGCGAAGGCGGCUUCCUGGCCUGUUCUUGACGCUGAGGCGCGAAAGCUAGGGGAGCAAACGGG
rnacentral:rRNA from 1 species